CGCUAUGGAUUUAAAGAUUUAAUCAGACAGGACUCCAGCUGCUUAGAUUUAUCUCUCUUCAUGUUGCUCAUCCGAGUCACUCUGGCAUAAGUGAUGCAACUGAGUAGUGUCAACCACAAACAUCUAAAUCAUUUUGAGAGCUACAAACUCUAUCCCACUUGAAGGACACGUGGAAAGCUUUGUCAUGGCAGUGGCUGCUGCUUUGUUGAUGCCUGAGCUAGCUAGAGAGCACAGAGUUGUGCACGUUGGUUUGCCUUGCACAGUCCUGUUCAAAGAGAGACAGUUUCCUGGCAAACAUGCAUCCUGCUGCCUGGGUGCAGUGUUUUCCCUGGACAGAGCUGCUGUUGGAAAGUUGGCAGAAGGACCCUGAAGGGUGGUUCUUCAGGAAGCUGUACCUACAGGAGACUGAAGCAGUCUUCUUUGAGGAUGAAGGUGGAGAACAUCAAGGACUGAAGGUGUUUAUGGAAAGCGUGUUUAUGGAAAAGGCUUUUGACAAACUUGAAAAAGAGAAGGGAAGAAAUUUCACUGGGGAAUUUCAUGGAAGUAUUUUGCCAUUCUCACAUGAUGCAAUCACCAGCAGACUGUUCUUUUCUGUAAUGAAGGUGAAUGUAAAGGGGAACUGAAGAC